rnacentral:lncRNA from 1 species
CUUAUUACAAUCACAAAGGAGGAAGCGGGGAUUUAUGACUUCAUGCAGUUUAAACCACCUGCCUGCCUAAGUGGCAAAGCUAGCUGCUCACAGGACAGCUCUGAAUCUGACUAAGCUUAUUCCAUCAAACUUCACUCCAGAAUUUUCAAAUCACCGAACCCCAAAGUUAUGGGAAUUUGUUGCCAAGGGAGAAAGACAGUGGAAUUUCUGCUUUCCUGAUCUGCAGAAACUAUAAAACUGACCCAAUAGAUAUGGAUAUCGCCUCAUCAGCAAAGCAGCACUCUCGCAUAUUCUUUCCUGAAGGUAUAAUCCAACAUUAAAUUCAGGAUUUAUAUAGUUUCAAUAUGCUCCUCAUUGAUUCCAGAUUAGACUGUAUUGCCUGCCCUCAUGAGAUGUGUUUCUCCUCCAAGAAUUCCUGAUAGUCCUCUGGUGUGUAUGUGUGUGCACUCAUGCAUUUGGCUUUCAGCUACAGCCACCAUAUGGCGACUACCACACUUACCCUUCUCCUGCAAGAGGCACACAGCCUACCCUGAGUUUUCCGGUGGUUCUGAACAGGGGCCCAAAGAUGCCUGUGACUCAGGCUCUCCAUCACCAUUACAAUAGAAAGAAUGGACAUACAAAGAAUCACAUUUGCCUUCCACUUCUGCAAUUUGCUGACCCUAGCAGACUACACGAACUAGAUGAUUGGAACUCCUCAAGGGUAACCUCUGUAAGACUGCAGACUUAAAGGUUGUCAGCAACUUGGCUUAUAUCUGCAGUGGCUUUGUUUCUCUCCAGUGCAUAAACCAAAGGUAAAAUUGGACUCACGAGCUAACCUUUACCACCAGGCAUUCUUUUACUUGAAGAUGAUAAUAGACUUUCCUUGUGGUGGAAGUUGUGCGCCAUGAGUGCCCUCUCUUGUGUCACCGUACGAGUGUGUAAAGUAAGAAGUGCAGGCAGGGAGUAGCAGGA